UUGCGUGUUAGCGAAAUGGUCAAUCUCGAAAUCGCUGAUGUUGAUUUGGGAAAAAAUAUUAUUAUUGUUCGAUCUGUAAAAGCGAA
rnacentral:tRNA from 1 species